GGACUACCGGGGUUUCUAAUCCUGUUUGCUCCCCUAGCUUUCGUCCCUCAGCGUCAGUUGUGAUCCAGCGAGCCGCUUUCGCCUCGGAUGUUCCUACGGAUAUCUACGCAUUUCACCGCUACACCCGUAAUUCCACUCGCCUCUCUCACACUCGAGCACGGCAGUUUCGUUAGCAGCCUCUGGGUUAAGCCCAGAGAUUUCACUAUCGACUUGCCGCACCGCCUACGGACCCUUUACGCCCAGUAAUUCCGAGCAACGCUGGCCCCCUACGUAUUACCGCGGCUGCUGGCAC
rnacentral:rRNA from 1 species